UACAGAGGGGGCAAGCGUUGUUCGGAAUUACUGGGCUUAAAGGGCGCGUAGGCGGCCGGGUUGGUCGUGGGUGAAAUCCCCCAGCUUAACUGGGGAACUGCCUACGAUACUGCCUGGCUCGAGGGAGGAAGGGGCGGUCGGAACUGUCGGUGGAGCGGUGAAAUGCGUUGAUAUCGACAGGAACGCCGGUGGCGAAAGCGGACCGCUGGCCCUCUUCUGACGCUGAGGCGCGAAAGCCAGGGGAGCGAACGGG
rnacentral:rRNA from 1 species